CAGUCGCCACGGGAAUACGAAGGGGGCUAGCAUUGCUCGGAAUUACUGGGCGUAAAGCGUGCGUAGGUGGUGGUUUAAGUCCGUUGUGAAAGCCCUGGGCUCAACCUGGGAAUUGCAGUGGAUACUGGGUCACUAGAGUGUGGUAGAGGAUAGUGGAAUUUCCGGUGUAGCAGUGAAAUGCGUAGAGAUCGGAAGGAACAUCUGUGGCGAAGGCGACUAUCUGGGCCAACACUGACACUGAGGCACGAAAGCGUGGGGAGCAAACAGGAUUAGAUACCCGAGUAGUCCCUGUCUCUUAUAC
rnacentral:rRNA from 1 species